AAUGAACGUUGGCGGCGUGGAUUAGGCAUGCAAGUCGAGCGAGAACCCGCAAGGGGGACAGCGGCAAACGGGGUAGUAACGGGUAGGUGACGUACCCUCGGGACGGGGAUAGCCACGGGAAACUGUGGGUAAUACCCGAUAACCUCGGAAAGCGUGACGGCUUUUCGAGCAAAGGUGUGAUUCCACCUGGGGAGCGGCCUGCCUCGUAUUAGCUGGUUGGUGAGGUAACGGCUCACCAAGGCGACGAUGCGUAGGGGGUGUGAGAGCAUGACCCCCACCACUGGGACUGAGAUACUGCCCAGACACCUACGGGUGGCUGCAGUCGAGAAUCUUCGGCAAUGGGCGCAAGCCUGACCGAGCAACGCCGCGUGUGGGAUGAAGGCCCUUGGGUUGUAAACCACUGUCAGAGGGGAUGAAGUGCACGCAGGCUAUCCUGUGUGCUUGACAUAGCCUCAGAGGAAGCACGGGCUAAGUUCGUGCCAGCAGCCGCGGUAACAC
rnacentral:rRNA from 1 species